AUACGUAGGGGGCGAGCGUUGUCCGGAAUUAUUGGGUUUAAAGGGUGCGCAGGCGGGAGAUUAAGUCGGCGGUGAAAUUUUUCAGCUCAACUGUAAAAGGGCCUUUGAAACUGGUUUCCUUGAGUGUAGAUGGAGUAAACGGGAUUUGUGGUGUAGCGGUGAAAUGCAUAGAUAUCACGAGGAACUCCGAUUGCGCAGGCAGCUUACUAAACUACUACUGACGCUCAGGCACGAAGGCGUGGGGAUCAAACAGGAUUAGAUACCCUGGUAGUCCACGCAGUAAACGAUGAUUACUAGCUGUUUGCGAUACAAUGUAAGCGGCUGAGCGAAAGCGUUAAGUAAUCCACCUGGGGAGUACGUUCGCAAGAAUGAAACUCAAAUGAAUUGACGGGG
rnacentral:rRNA from 1 species